UCAGAGAAGAAGAUCUGACGGUAUCUGAGGAAUAAGCAUCGGCUAACUCCGUGCCAGCAGCCGCGGUAAUACGGGGGAUGCAAGCGUUAUCCGGAAUUAUUGGGCGUAAAGCGUCCCGAGGUGGCUUACCCAGUCGACUGUGAAAGCUCAGGGCUUAACCUUGAAACUGCAGUCGAAACUUGUAAGCUUGAGUACGGUAGAGGCAGAGGGAAUUCCCGGAGGAGAGGUGAAAUUCGUAGAUAUCGG
rnacentral:rRNA from 1 species